rnacentral:lncRNA from 1 species
UAGUUUCAAGACAUGUAUGAAACACCUACUCUAGAUGAAAAGUGAAGAAUUUUUUUUUUGGAGUUUUUUAAAUAAGAUCCCCGAACUAUAAUAGGCUACCCACGUAUCUCACUCCCGAGAGAGGAGAAUCAGGGGUGCGUAGUUCAUCCAGAUCGGACAAUUAACGAUUAACUAAUAAAUUGACCCUAACUUAAGAGACACAACCAAAAAC